GCCUCAAGAGUUACAAGAUGUGAGACAGCUCCCUGAAGGAAUUUGCAAUCCAGUAAGAAGGCCAGGUUGAGUUUGGUUUCUGAAGAUACAUUUGGAAGAAGCCUAACCACUCCACAACAACAACCAAAAAAACAAGCAGCCCGGUUAAGAAAUGGGCAAAGGACUAGAACAGACAUCGUUCCAAAAAGAUAUACAAAUGGCCAAUAAGCACAGGAGAAGAUGCUUAACAUCACUGGUCGCUAGGGAAAGGCAAGCCAGAGCUACAGUGAGAUAUUUCUUCACACCCACGAGGAUGGCUCUGAUCAAAACACAAACAAACGGAAGACAGGUUAUUUGGGGAAUAAUGAUGUAAUGUUGAUGAGACCGUGGAGAAAUUGGAACAUUUGUGCCUUGCUGGUAGGAAUAUAAAAUGGUGCAGCUGCUGUGGAAAAGGGUAUGAUGAGUCCUCAAAAAAAGAAAAACAAUUACCAUGUGAUCCCAUAGUUCUGUUUCUGGAUAUGCAGCCAAAAGAAAUGAAAGCAGGGCCCCUAGUAGAUAUGUGCACACCCAUGUUCAUAGCAGCAUUAUUCACAACAGCCAAAAUGUGGGAUGUGCUCAAAACAAAUCAGGUAAAUAAGUGAAGUGAUACAUAAGUGAAUGAACGCGCUAUGAUUUAUUUUUAAUUCACAUGACAUCACAACGACAUGACAUCAUCAUCUCCUGGCAAAAAGCAAACAUUCCAGUCGGUGGUCCUUAACAGGCUGGCAAGUAUCAUGAAAGUUCAACACAACCUCUUACUUCGGGAAGCCAGGGGGUCCCUACGCGUUCACACUUGCCCAUUCAGCCCAGGAGAGUUUGUUUUCCCUGUGAGUGUGUGCUUCAAGUGUGACCUUUGAGGAGAAACACUGGGAAGGUAGAGGUGCUUUUCUUUGCACCAUCGACUGUUGCUUGCAUGCCCAGGCACUACCCCAGAGCCUCAUGGCGGACAUGGCAGUUGGGCAAAAGUAGACGUGACUUUGAGACCAGCCGUGAGCUUUCAUUCACUCCUUCACCAAGCCCUGACAAAUUCACAUCACAUAGAAUUCACCAUUUUA